UUUAUUUAAACACCCUUUUAUGAGGCUAGAAAUGGUAUUUCAUACAGAAUAAUUAUUUUCCUACCUUCAAAAAUAUUUGAGAAAAUUCCGGGAAACUCAAAGGACAUAUAUUUUCCAUAUAUGUGAGUUUCAACACAUGGUCAUGUUCAAUAUAUUGGGCAAAACCUCUCAAAACCUUUUAUGCCUAUUUUAAUAUUUUGAAAUAUUUGCGAAGGAAAUAUUCUCAAUAAAUUCCAAGAAAAUUCUAGCAUGUCCCGCGUGUUAUAUGAGGUGACCCUGCAAAGUUCCAUCUCCAUCCAAAUUGAUUUGAUUCACCCAAUAAACCCAAAACCCUUCCUGUCCAGAGCCAAGUUUGAACAACUCUACAUUGCCAAGUUCCUUAUUACUCUCAUACUUUGCAGGAGUGAUACAAACCCAAAAUAAGAGUGCCACGCCAAGUUGUGCAUUUCUGGGAGUUGGUUUACUCGCCUUGGUUCACAGAAAUUUCAUUCUGCCCAUUUCUAGGGUUUUUCAUGUCUACAUUGUCAACCUUGCUCAAAUGAUCUCAGACUUGGUGAAUCCUACUAUUUUUACCCAUCAUUUAAUCUUGUUAAUUCUCACUACAUUUGGUGAGGUUUAUCUUUCUCAAACUAGCAUCAAACGCCUCCUCGUGAUUUAGUAAAACAGCUACUUUCACC
rnacentral:lncRNA from 1 species